CUACGGGUUGCUGCAGGCGAGAAAACUUUGCAAUGUGCGAAAGCACGACAAGGUUAAUCCGAGUGGUUUGUGCUAAACGAACCUUUUGACAGUCCUAGAAACACUGUUGAAUAAGGGGUGGGCAAGUUCUGGUGUCAGCCGCCGCGGUAAAACCAGCACCUCAAGUGGUCAGGAUGAUUAUUGGGCCUAAAGCAUCCGUAGCCGGCUCUGUAAGUUUUCGGUUAAAUCUGUACGCUCAACGUACAGGCUGCCGGGAAUACUGCAGAGCUAGGGAGUGGGAGAGGUAGACGGUACUCGGUAGGAAGGGGUAAAAUCCUUUGAUCUAUUGAUGACCACCUGUGGCGAAGGCGGUCUACCAGAACACGUCCGACGGUGAGGGAUGAAAGCUAGGGGAGCAAACCGGAUUAGAUACCCGUGUAGUC
rnacentral:rRNA from 1 species